UGCCAAUGAUGAUUUACAGUGAUGAUGUUAUGUAUGAGAAAUCAGGGAUUACAACACCACUCUACUGCCUUCCUUCUGAGGCA